AACGAACGCUGGCGGCAGGCCUAACACAUGCAAGUCGAGCGAAGCCUUCGGGCUUAGCGGCGGACGGGUGAGUAACGCGUGGGAACGUGCCCUUUGCUACGGAAUAGCCCCGGGAAACUGGGAGUAAUACCGUAUGUGCCCUUCGGGGGAAAGAUUUAUCGGCAAGGAUCGGCCCGCGUUGGAUUAGGUAGUUGGUGGGGUAAUGGCCUACCAAGCCGACGAUCCAUAGCUGGUUUGAGAGGAUGAUCAGCCACACUGGGACUGAGACACGGCCCAGACUCCUACGGGAGGCAGCAGUGGGGAAUCUUAGACAAUGGGCGCAAGCCUGAUCUAGCCAUGCCGCGUGAUCGAUGAAGGCCUUAGGGUUGUAAAGAUCUUUCAGGUGGGAAGAUAAUGACUGUACCACCAGAAGAAGCCCCGGCUAACUCCGUGCCAGCCGCCGCCGUAACAC
rnacentral:rRNA from 1 species